GACAGAGGGUGCAAACGUUGUUCGGAAUUACUGGGCGUAAAGCGCGUGUAGGCGGUUCGUAAAGUCGGGUGUGAAAGCCCUGGGCUUAACCCAGGAAGUGCACUCGAAACUCACGAACUUGAGUCCCGGAGAGGAAGGCGGAAUUCUCGGUGUAGAGGUGAAAUUCGUAGAUAUCGAGAGGAACAUCGGUGGCGAAGGCGGCCUUCUGGACGGUGACUGACGCUGAGACGCGAAAGCGUGGGGAGCAAACAGG
rnacentral:rRNA from 1 species